rnacentral:piRNA from 1 species
UGAGAAGAUUGAGUGAACUCUGAGAGCUGA